UGAAGGCUUCUCAAAUUGAUUACUAUGAAAUAAAUGAGGCUUUCGCCGUUGUAGCUCUUGCCAAUCAAAAGUUGCUUGGUCUUGAUCCUCUGGCUGAUUCUUCAAGCAUUGUGGGAUGCGGCUUGGUAUUUUUUUCUUUCAACAUUGGCACUUUGUUUUAUUUUUUAUUUUUUCGAUUUCACUCUAUUAUUUUCUACCUUAUGGCUUUCUCUAGGGUUUCAAGUCACCAGAGGAUUUGGAGGCUUUUCAGGUAUGAAAAUUCCACCUGAGAGUGCCCCAAAAGGCUUUAUUGGUGUUUUAGACAGGAAAGGUAACCCCUGAUUUACAGAUUCUAGAUGGUGGAGAAUAGAUAGGCCUGAAGCAUUUUAGGCCGGUAAAACCCUUGGGAUCUAGUGACACUGGCAGGUGUUGAAAAUUUUUCAUUUUUGAGAAGAUGUGCUUCUGGGUAUUUAUUGUGUGCGGUUUAUCUUGAAGAAGCUGCAUCUAUCAGUGGCAAUUUGCUCUUACAGGAGGAGCAAGUUACAGAGCGGAAUAUGAGGGAAAUUUGAAGGAAAUCCUUGGUUACACUAAGGAUGAUGUGGUAUCAAGUGACUUUGUGGGAGACUGCAGGUCGAGUAUUUUUUAUGCCAAGGCUGGAAUUGCUCUGAAUGACAACUUCAUCAAGUUGGUCUCUUGGUAUGGUAUGAUAAUGAAUGGGUUUACAGUUGGUUAAGAAGAAGAUGGAUGAGGAGUACGAAUUGACUAUGGAGGACAUUGAUUCGAGUUUGGUGUUCAUGUACAUCCUGUAACAGAGGAGGAUGUUAAAGGAGAAGCUCAAUAUAAACAUACAGAUUUUGUAAAAGCAGUGGUGCUGAAGAUGCUACUUAGCUGGUCAUCCAUUAAAGGUGUUCAGCUUGAACACCGGAAGGUUCAACCUGGAAACAUAUCAGUUCUUUGAUACUGUUAAGAAACACUAUGGCAGCCGCAUUGAAUGCAUGUUUCCAGAUGCUAUUGAAGCUGAGGGCUUGGUGAGUGUUGCCGUGAGGAAAGUGAGACCUCACCUUCUAGCUCACAAAAUUUAAUUGUUAAACGUUAAGUCUCAUUGAUGUUGGUUUCAACUAUAGUAUGUAGUGUUGCAAUAGUAAUGCAAAGCCAGUACAAACUUGACAACUUGAAAUCAAGACAGUCAAUGACCCAAAUUUGUAGAGUCAAUCAACUUUAGCUACUUUUUUUUU